UACAGAGACUGCAAGCGUUAUUCGGAUUCACUGGGCGUAAAGGGUGCGCAGGCGGCCAAGUGUGUGAGGCGUGAAAGCCCGGGGCUUAACCCCGGAAUUGCACCUCAAACUACAUGGCUGAGAGCAUUGGAGAGGGUAGCAGAAUUCACGGUGUAGCAGUGAAAUGCGUAGAUAUCGUGAGGAAUACCAGAGGCGAAGGCGGCUACCUGGACAAUUGCUGACGCUCAGGCACGAAAGCGUGGGGAGCAAAAGGG
rnacentral:rRNA from 1 species